GGCGCAGAAGGGGAGAGGAAAAAAGAAAGAAAGAAAAACCAACAAGGAAGGAGUGAAUGUUCAAGAAAGUCUUCUCCAGGUCCAAAUUCCACUUGGAUUCCACUCCGUCACACAUGAAAGAAGAUGUGCACUCUGAGGACGGGCUCCCAUGUGUGCUUCUCGGUGCAUCGGCGUCUCCAUGACCCGCUCCCUCCCCCUCCACAAAAACUCAUCAGGAUGCAAGGGAGUGCAAGACAUGUUUUUACAGUACAGGGAGUCCCUCUGCCCAUCACGGCCACCCAGCGACCCUGCUGGCCAAGAUGCUGUCUCCAAACAGCUCACGCAGUCUCGCAGAGCUGGGGUAACGAAGUCCCCAUCACCAAUCACAAGCUCGUUCUUCAUGUUUUUGCUGUGGAAUGACACACAUCACUUUUGUUCCCAUUUCAUGACCAAGUGACACCAUUCUCGAAGCUGGCACCUCUGCUAGAGAAGAGAGAGGGGACGCGCCACACGGCGAGGGGAUGUGAUAUAUCCGCCACGUUCUUGGAAGGAGUGGAAUGUACCACACAAGGGCCGACUCCAGAUCUGAUCUGGUCAUGGAUCACCUCGGUUUUCCAUGGGGUCAUCAAAAUCGUGGCGCCCAGCCUACUGACUUUACAGCGGACAACGCCAUGGCCUGUGAAACUUGAGUGACUUCUGUACACAUCUGCGUGUGCUCCUCUCCUGACUUUUCCAUCCCUUACGUAAGGAAGGAGGUCAUUGACCGAAAACAAAGAUGUUGGAGAAGAUGUUGAAGGUUGAGACGAGAGGAGAAGCGUGCCCGUGCCCAGGGAGGGUGGAUUCCUUGAUGAAGCUCCCUUCUUGUCUGGAUCCAGAGGGAGGAGUUUCCCAAGGUAAAUCUCUACCUUUUAGCAUCAAAAGAGAAAUGCAAGUGAAACGGCACAGAGACGGGUGCCCGCUCCAUCACUGGUUUCUGGAGGCAUCUAAAUGGCCAGGAGUAGAUUGGACCUCCUAGGCCUUGAGUACAUUCAUUCUAUCCAAGUGCUUCUGUUAACUAGCAAUAUACUUUAUUUCAAAAAUCAUCUCCCAGUGCCUACAUUUUGAAAAGAGUUAAUACCUUUUAAAACAGUUUCAUAUUCAUUAGCUCCUUCUUUACUUAAAAACUUGAUGAGGUGGAAAGAACUAGAAUUAACAUUCCCUCCUGCGAGAUGAAAACCAGAGGCAGUGGAUAUUUAAGGCACUUGUCCCAGGUCACCCUGAGGCCUCAAAAGCAUAAUCAAGGCUCCGGCUGAGUUUGACUUUCAUCCCUCAGUUCUUCCUCUGUUUUUUCACGAAGCUGUUUCCCGAGGUACAGUUACUACACCUCCUCCCCCCCCAUUCACAAAACUCUCAGUGUUCAUCAGGAAGCUGCACCACGGAAAGAGAAGUGCUCUAGAAGGGUAAGAUGCAAAUCUUGACUUCACCACCUACAGUAAUCUCUCUUCCCUGAGCCCUGGUGACUCUCCCCUCCAGGGGCUAAUAAAAGAAUAAAAUGGAGAGAUCCAUAUUAUGGGGGGGGGUUAUAAAGCAAAGUGUCAUGUAAUUGGGGAGUGUUAUUAUUCUACUGAUUCAUGCUCUAAAUUCUCUUUCUAAGGGUAGACAUCGAGCGACAUUAUCACUGACUAUUAUACCGUGUGCUAGUUCAGCAUGUGAGUAUUAUCAGUGCAAAGGGGGUUCCCCAUGCGAUAUCAGUGUGGAUGGAAUCAGUGCCUCCAGUCCCUCAGGCCUGAAUCACAUCGUCUGCAGUUUGUUUUUCCUUCUACCUGUUAAGCAUGUAGUAGUAAAGAUGUUCGAUUUCCAAAGAAUAAUUAAGCCAAGGACGCGGUGUCCCAUCUUUGAUGAAAUGCAGAUUUCACAUUAAAUUUGGAUCCUUCGUUUUUAAAGGUUGAAUAGAAUAGCGUCUAAAAAAAGAAUUCCCCCUGGUUAAAUUUAGGCUGCUGGAAAAAAAAAAAAAGAGAAAUUUAAUGUAAGAUUAUUCUUGGUACAGAAACAUUUUCGCUUGGCUGUGAAAUGGAUACAUUUAAAAAUGGCUGCAGGCUCUUGCCUUUGGAAUUGUGUGGGGGAUGAUCCAACAAAUGUGAAUAGGCCUGUUCGAGUCGGUCACACUGCUUCCCUGCCCCUAAUGAAGGGUUUCUCGUGUUAGUGCCAAGUAAUGGUGUCUGCUUGCAGGUGUGCUCCCCCUGCGUUAGUGGGUCCAGCAGAGCUGGUGGUAAUCUUACACCCAGUGGCCUCUCCAUGCGGGCUGGGCUCACCCCAGUUCCUGGACAGAUAGGACGCUGGUUUUGCCAAUUUCAAAUUAUGAGCCUUAUCUAGGCACGCCUAGGCACGGAAGUACUAUGUGGCACCUCCCGCCGCUUCAAGAGACAUACCAACCUUUACUCUGUUGCAGAGAGUAAAUUUUAUAUAUAUAUAUAUA